UUUUUACCCUUUCAAGAUAAUAUUUAUUCAGCACAGAGUUUAGAGAAUGAUAACAGUCCUGUAAAUACGACGCUUCAUCACCACCCAUCACCACAGACAGAGGAAAGGAACUAUUUUACUUUCUCAUAUUUAUUCUUAGAUUUCUUCCGAGAGCAUAAAAGCAUUCUAUUACGUGACCCACGGUAGUGAUGUAACCAGUCUCCAGCCAGAAAUAAACAUACUUCCUUCACCUCCUCCAGCAUGGUUUGUGCCGACAGCCAAAAGUGAAUGGCAGGGAUUGAAUAACGGAUGAAUGUUUUCCUUUCCUCUUUGUCUUCAGAGAAACAAACAGUUCACUGAGUGGAGAAAGCAAAAAUGAAAGCCUAGGAUCCUUUUCCUGCCGUUAGGACUGCUGAUGGGUGGAUGGGAGCUGUCUACUCUGCUGACUCUGGAUGCACACCGAUGCCCAACACCCCUCGCUCUGCAGCAGGGCGGUGGGUGCCGGGCAGGGAUGCUGCCAUGGAGGCUGCUUGCAGGACAUGGAUGCUGGAGCCCUGCGGGAACACUUCCCGGUGCCCACUGCUCCAGAGAGCCCCCCGGUCCAGUCUGAGGGCUGCACAGCCGGGGCCCCAUGGUGGGAAGUGGGUCCUUGCUAACAGGGAGGAAAAAGCCUCAAAGCAUUGGAAGGAAAACGAUGCAGCGGCCUCAGAUGUCCAGAGGAGUGCUGUGCGGAUCCCUCCUGGGUCCUCAUCUGCAGCUCAUCUGCAAGGUGUGAAUUCCUCACCUGUGUUGGGGUGAGCUGAGGUGUGAGUACCUACCCACUGGAAAUGAGGGGGUUUGAAAUGGUGUUAGGCUUUCUGCUGCAGUCAGCAGAGAGGGACCAGAUAUCUUGCCUAGGCUGCUGCAAUGCGAAGAACUGAGAUAACUAAGAUCAGAUUUCAAGUACGUCCUACAAGCAAAGCAGAGCAACCCUUGCUGUGCCCCGUGUUCUACCAGCUCGCUUAGUGCACUUUGCAUGCAGCGAACCUGUCUUGAGAAUGUUGAUAGAGAUUAAGCACCACCUCUUCCAGAGCAAUCUGGUUGGUUUAUAUAUCUGUAGUAGCACAAUCCUUCUGAGGCUGCCCAUUUCCCUGCUUCUGCAUCUCCGAAAUAACAGGCUGUGACAUUUCCUCUUUGAGCACGCUCAACCAGAGGCCGUCUGCUGUCUUUGGAAGGGAGUGGUGAUGCCUACAGCUCCAUCAGCUCACUUACCAGAAAUGCAGCAUCUCAAAGUGAGCGGUGCCCCUCUGCUGUUGGCUCUGUGUUGGGAAACUGAAUUUAAAACCCACAGGGCCUGCAGGUUUGUGAAUUCUCUGCCAACUGAACAAACUGUCCAUGGGUGUUUGAUCUGCGUCCUCCAUCCGCUUCUCUGCACACUGCUAAAUCAAAGCAAAGGAAGAACAUGCUGCUCUGCAUCGUGGUGUUGAGCAGUGCUGUCUUUCAGAUGAGGGGCAGUUGGGCACAUCGCCUGGAAACCUGCGGCUGUGGUGCAGAUGUCAUUUGAUGUGUUCAUAGCAUCACUGCUGUCACUGUGUGUCUGUGGUGUGGCUGCUGGUAAGUCAGUAGCAGAGGAUGCCGUGGGCAAUGCCUACUCAUGGAGGGACAGAAAACAGUGUCGCUGCUGCUGGCAGCUCUGCUCUUUGUGCCUCUCCUACCCUGGGAUGUUCGCUGCAGGGCUGUGCUGCUGCACCCAAUGGGCACUGCAAAGCUGCUCAGCUCUCCUCCCUGCUGGCAAUGCUGUGCCACUGGUUUUAAUUACUAUCUCACCUGGGACUCUGAAAUCCCUCACUACCUCGCUGCCUGUUUGAAGAAAACAAACCCUUUUUUGUUGGUGAAAAUAAUUAUUUUACCUUGAGAAGGCAAUUAAAAGCCUGAGCUCACCAGAUGUAUUUCUAAAGGACUCUUUGCAAAUCUUUGGGAGAGAAGAGAAAUAAUUCUCCUAAAUCAGGAGGCAGAUCAAUAACACACGUUGCUCUGCAGAAGGCCGUGUUUAUUUUGCCUGCCAGCAGUGAAACUCAAUAGACCCCCAGCAGUCGAAGAAGAAAUGAGACCUCUGUGGUUUUGCAUUGUGAGUUUCCUGUGUCUGUGUUUUUUGUUUUGCUCGUUUGUUUUUGUCAUAUGAAAUCUAUUGGCAAAUAAUGGGCAAUGAUCAGCACUUUAUUUUCAUCUGGCAUUUAAUCAAAGGGACGUGCUACAUCUGCACAAUAGCUGGGCUAAUUGCUCAACCAAACAGGACAAACCAUUGUUCAUCCUCAAGGCUGAUGGAAUAAAUAUGAAUAUCAUCGUGGUUGAUCACAGAGAUUACAAAGAAAAUGGGGCAAAGACCCCAUUCCCCUUUCUUGGCUGCAGCAGGUGGGGGGCACAGAAACAAAAUUCAGGUGGUGGAGGAGAACGACUGCAUUGCUGAGGAGGACAGGAGUGCAUCCUUACAGCGUGACCUUUGGUGCUGUCACCUCUUCCCUGACUGCUGCUGCACUUCUGCCUUCAGCUGUGCAGAGGGAAAGGUUGGAAAUGCUGCAGAAUGGAAUUGUUUACUCUCCGGGGUCAGUAGAAGUACUAAAGAAGCUCUACAUGAUUAAUUUGUGCUCUUGCAUCAAUGCCUUUCAUGUGUGCAGGAGAAUGGGCUCUUUGCAGAUGAUUCAUUAGGCCUUCAAAGCAAGACAUAAAAAGACAAAUCUCCUGGUGGGAAGUCAGCAAUCCCUGCAGAACUGCCUCCAGACUGCGCGCUUCGCUCUGAUGUUGAGAUGGGUACGGCACUCCAAGCUUAAAGGCUGUGCAGAUAUAUCUGGGAACUUUGGCAAUGGAAGCAGUGAAACCCUCACAUCCCCGGAGCUCUUCACCUGCUGUGUCAGAUGGCACUGACACUGUCAGUGCUCCGGAGUUUCUGCAUGUUGGUUUUGCUCUUCACCUUCCUCCCCACUGGGCUCAGCAGGAAAAUGGCCUCAGGGCAAAAAGCCAAGAGUCAAAGGAGAGAAAUUCAAAAGAGAAACGAAGGAAACUGGAAUCAGAGGAAAAAAAUCCAGAGGAAAAAGUGCAUCCCCAGCAGCCUGGCCGUGCUAAUUGCUGUUGGAGCUCCCUGGCAGGUGGAGGAAAAGCAAAUGUUUUGGCCAGCAUGGGCUGGGUGCCGAGGAGCCUGCUGGGUGCUGCUGGGACUGAGCAGCCGUGUUCAGCCCGGCCUGCUUUUAGCAUCACUACAUUUCCAACAUGCUCUCCUAAUCCGGGAUCAAAGCAUGCAGUCAGCAGAAGGCAUUUGGAGGGAGAACAGUGCUGUUUUCCAUCCGUUCCCCUCUGCCAAGAAAGCUGUUCUUGCUGAGGAGCUCCCAGCACGGGUUAUGGGAUCACACCGGCUUCUGGGAGUUGAUCUCUGCCCUCCUGCAAGGAGCAGAACACAGGGAGAGCCCCGUGAGCAUCCCCUGUGCUGCACAGAACGGCAGCGUCAGGCACAGAACCGCAGAGCAGAGCAGGCACUGCUCACAGCGCUGUGCAAACACUGAGCGACAACAUUUUGGAAGAGGAGCCUCCCCGCGAGAUGGGAGGCAGUGCAGAAUUAGGGGUUUUCAAUCACAGCGGCUCCACGAGAAAAGAAAUGCAGCUGCUGCUCUGAAAUCGGUCUGAAUCCUGCAGACAGCCACUGCCGUGCGGGACAAAGUGCUGCCAGGUGGGAGAAAUCCCCGUCAGCAUUCGCUGCAGGGAAGGUGGAUGGAGUAAUGAGAGCGAGCAGAGGCGUGGGAUGGAUGUUUCACUCCAGAGCUCCAAUCCAUUUAUAUAAUCAUAGUUGUUAUCGCAGUAAAUGUAAAUAACUGAUUGAGUUCAAAUGUAGUGUUUGACAACGCUGAUUCUUUGUGAGUACACACUGAAUUCUUGGAGAAUUACUUUAUUUCAUCAGACAGACCCGCAAUGUGUUCAACAGCCCUUUAGGCAUUUAGGUUGGGCCGUACUCUGUGAUUUUUCUUGCUCUCCAAAGCAUAAAGCCUCUUACAAGUUCAUGUUUUAAUCAAUUGCUUGAAUCAAAGUAUGUGGCAGUUUGGCAGCUUGCCCUUUGCUGCAUUGCUAUAGCUGCAAUAAUAGCAAUAAUGAUAUCAUGAAAAUACAAAAAGGCUGCUUUGCACCUUGUCAGCCCACGGCAAUGAAUAACCAGGAUGACCUUAAUUUGUUUUCUAUCAGAUGUGUUGGCCCACAACCUUCAGUAGCAUCCAAGAUAGGCAUCGGAGCUGCAGCCCACCUCCCCACGCUAAGCAGCAGCCUCCCUAAUUAGCCUGUGUGCAUCACAGCAGCUGCUGCUCUGGUCAGGGUCACGCGAGGGCUUCACCCCGUGCAGUUUCUGCUCUGUGCAGGAUGGAUGCUGCGCCCUGCAGCCAGGACAGAGCAGGACAGACCCCGCUGUGGUGGUCCCAGGGCUCUUUGCAGGGGGCUGUGGUGGCCAAACUGAAGUGAGAUCGGCACUGUGGGGACGGAGGGGGGUUUCAAAGGCCUGGAGACAGCUGCAUUCAGAAAUAGAUCAGAGCAGCACUUCCAUCCAAAAGGGAAAAAUAGUAAAGAGUGGCUUCAAAAUAGCGCUGUCCGUGACAUCCCACUUGUGCACGCUUUUAAUGAGGCUGGUGCUGGUCUUAACAGGAGGAUGGCCUCAAUUCCAUUAUAGCUUUGUGCUAUUGAUACAAUGCUUCUCAUAAUGAGGGCGUUAUUAUCUUUGUUGGGAAAUGCAGAAUGCAGCAGAUGCACGGUGUUAAAUAAUGACAAAGAGACUCAGCAGGAGCCAGGAGCAUGGAUGGUGCCCUGCUGGGGACGAGGGGGCCCUCGGAUGGACACUGCGAGGAUGUGCUCUGUGCUCGUCCCUGCAGAGCAGGGCAUGGAGAUGUCUGAGCUGCUGGGUGCUUCGAUUCCUCUGCUGGGAGAGGGCUCCUGGGCUCCUGCUUUGGUCGGUGCCACGGGGCUCUCUUCCCUCAGUCUGCCCUCGGGGCCAAUCGCUCACAUCCAUGCCUUCAGUCACUUCUGUAGGUUUCAGCAGUGUGCACCUUUGGCAAGGUCUGGCCUGAGCCCAGCUGAGCCUCUGUACCACCACUGCCACAGCUGCCUCCCCCCGCCCUACUGUGAGUCACUUCCAAAGACACUUUUAGUUCAUUAAUGCUGAGAUGCAUUAAAAUGAACCUCAGUAAAAUGGCAAUGCUGAUAAAAGCAGCCCCCAUCCUCCACCCACUCCAUGCCCCAGUUGCUCAGGUUCGUUUCUGUCUUUGAAUCAGACAGAGGGAAGCUCCAAUUUUCUGCAAAAUCACGUCUGGGUCCCAAAGGGAGCCUGGAGCAGACACACAGUUGUUGUGCUCCUGCAGGGACACUGAGGGCUGCAACUGGAAGCAACAGAUUGCUCUGGGGGCAGUGGCUUUGGGGGUACAUUGGCAUGUAGUGUGCAGUCCUACACAGCCCCAAGGAGUGUAUUUGUGCUGGUGAUGGCCCAACUUCGGGAUGCAUUGUAUGGAACAAGACCAAUCAGUAACUCAAUGACAUAAGGUUUUUAGCACCAAUGAGCUGGAGAUGGUGAUCAUGGGAUGUUAUUCCAAGAGGAAAAGUCAAAUGGAAAUGGAGGAUAAGUAUGCAAGAACUAAAGCAAAGCAACUUGUUGGGGAGACCAAAGCCACCACUGGGAUAAAUCCUUAUAGAACAGAGCUGAAGAGCCAGAUGAUGACGUGCUCUUUCCGAGUGAAUUUUCUCAGGGGCAACGAGGCACAGCUGAUGAGCAGGGCAGCAUAAAUCAGCAAAGCCUCCAAUACAGCCCAGCUGCACUGAUGUGACCAGAAAGCUCCAUCAAGCUAUUAAAUCAUUUGCACAAGACAAGCAGUCAAGCCCUUCUUUACCACUAGCAACCAACAUUCUGGUAAAACUCAUCUUUAUUUUGCUGUUGUCCUCAGCAUCACAUCGGUGGCCACUUAACAAUAAGUGCCUACAGGCCCUGAAAGCAAGAAGGCAAAAUCAGCAGGAGCACAGCUGGCAGGAGCUGAGCAUUUCUGUGGGGCCUCAGACAUAGGGAGUGUGGGCUGUGGGGCUCUGCCUGCAGACUGUGAUAAUGGGAACAGGGACUGUGGGAGUUCCUGCUGACUUUCACCUGCAUCAUCAGCUCUGUGUAAAUCUGUUAGUUGUGGUGGUGGUGAUCUGAGAGUGUAGGCAAAUUAAGGUUUGUGGCAAAGAACAAAACUUUUAGCAAAACGCACAGCUAUUUUUUUUAUUAGAGCAUCCAAUACAGGUAGGACAUGGACAAGCUUUAGGGCAAAGAGGCCCCACAGGACUUCCCUGGGUGUGAAACAGAAACAAAAAGCUUCAAGGAAGAUUCAGGCUGGAAAAACAUUCAGCUUCAGUUUAACAUAAUUAUGACAACAAAUUAGAGAGUUAGGAGGCAAAUCUGCCAGUAAGCACCUGUGAAAUCAGCCUUCAUAACCCUUGUGUAUCAGUUCAAAUCUGGGAUAUUGGAAUCCUGUUACAGCCAUCACCUGAUUUCCCAGUGUUUAAAAUGCAUCUACUGUUUUGCAAGGGACACACAAGUAGGAACUGUCACCUGGCAGAUGUGGGUUGCCCAUGCUGUGAUCUGCCUGUGGGGCUUUGCACAGUCUGUUGUUUGUAUGGGGCAGCGCCCAGCCCGGCUACUUCUGUUCCAAGAACAGCAUCUCUGUGUAUGUCCCUCUUCUGAAGCAAGC
rnacentral:lncRNA from 1 species